GAGUUUGAUCCUGGCUCAGAAUGAACGUUGGCGGCGUGGAUUAGGCAUGCAAGUCGAGCGAGAACCCGCAAGGGGGACAGCGGCGAACGGGGUAGGACAACGUAGGUAACGUACCCUCGGGGCGAGGACAGCCACGGGAAACUGUGGGUAAUACUCGAUAAUGUUCCCAAUCGUGAUGGAAGGGGAACCAAUGGGUGUGAUUCCACCUGAGGAGCGGCUUACGCAGUAUCAGCUUGUUGGUGAGGUAACGGCUCACCAAGGCUAUGACGCUUAGGGGAUGUGAGAGCAUGAUCCCCACCACUGGCACUGAGACACUGGCCAGACACCUACGGGUGGCUGCAGUCGAGAAUCUUCGGCAAUGGACGCAAGUCUGACCGAGCGACGCCGCGUGCGGGAUGAAGGCCCUCGGGUUGUAAACCGCUGUCAGAGGGGAUGAAGUGUACGGGAGUUAUCUCCUGUAUUUGACAGAGCCUCAGAGGAAGCACGGGCUAAGUUCGUGCCAGCAGCCGCGGUAAUACGAACUGUGCGAACGUUAUUCGGAAUCACUGGGCUUAAAGGGUGCGUAGGCGGCUGCCUAAGUCAGGUGUGAAAUCUCUCGGCUCAACCGGGAAACUGCGCUUGAUACUGGGCGGCUUGAGUGAGGUAGGGGUGUGUGGAACUUCCGGUGGAGCGGUGAAAUGUGUAGAUAUCGGAAGGAACGCCAGCAGCGAAAGCGGCACACUGGGCCAUUUCUGACGCUGAGGCACGAAAGCUAGGGGAGCGAACGGGAUUAGAUACCCCGGUAGUCCUAGCCGUAAACACUGAACACUCGAGGAGGGGGGCUUCGGCUUUCUUUCUCUUAGCGAAAGCGUUAAGUGUUCCGCCUGGGGAGUAUGGUCGCAAGGCUGAAACUCAAAGGAAUUGACGGGGGCUCACACAAGCGGUGGAGCAUGUGGCUUAAUUCGAGGCAACGCGAAGAACCUUAUCCUGGGCUUGACAUGUACGGAUUAACCCCAUGAAAGUGGGGCCACACUCGCAAGAGCGGAACGUGCACAGGUGCUGCAUGGCUGUCGUCAGCUCGUGUCGUGAGAUGUCGCGUUAAGUCGCUAAACGAGCGAAACCCCUAUCCUUAGUUGCCAGCGCGUCAUGGCGGGGACUCUAAGGAGACUGCCGGUGUCAAACCGGAGGAAGGCGGGGAUGACGUCAAGUCCUCAUGGCCUUUAUGCCCAGGGCUGCACACGUGCUACAAUGGGGCGUACAAAGCGCCGCUAAGUCGCGAGACCACGCUAAUCGCAAAAAGCGUCCCCCAGUACGGAUUGCAGGCUGCAACUCGCCUGCAUGAAGCCGGAAUCGCUAGUAAUCGCCGAUCAGCAUUGCGGCGGUGAAUGUGUUCCUGAGCCUUGUACACACCGCCCGUCAAGCCACGAAAGCGGGGGGCAUCCGAAGUCGCCGAGCUAACCGCAAGGGAGCAGGUGCCGAAGAUGAACUCCGUGAUUGGGACUAAGUCGUAACAAGGUAGCCGUAGGGGAACCUGCGGCUGGAUCACCUCCUUUCUA
rnacentral:rRNA from 1 species